rnacentral:rRNA from 1 species
AGAUUGAACGCUGGCGGCAUGCCUUACACAUGCAAGUCGAACGCGAAAGCGGAGCAAUCCGCAAGUAGAGUGGCGAACGGGUGAGUAAUACAUCGGAACAUUUCCAGUAGCGGGGGAUAACCUGUCGAAAGAUAGGCUAAUACCGCAUACGACCUACGGGUGAAAGCGGAGGACCGCAAGGCUUCGCACUAUUGGAGUGGCCGAUGUCGGAUUAGCUAGUUGGCGGGGUAAAAGCCCACCAAGGCUACGAUCCGUAGCUGGUCUGAGAGGACGAUCAGCCACACUGGAACUGAGACACGGUCCAGACUCCUACGGGAGGCAGCAGUGGGGAAUUUGGACAAGUGGGCGCAAGCCUAGAUCCAGCCAUCGCCGCGGUGAGGUGAAGGAAGGUCCGUUUACGGGUUAGUUAAACGCGUUCGUUUUCGGU